rnacentral:rRNA from 1 species
GAUGAACGCUGGCGGCGUGCCUAAUACAUGCAAGUCGAGCGAACAGACUAGUAGCUUUCUCCUCUGACGUUAGCGGCUUACGGGUGAGUAACACGUGGAUGACCUACCUAUAAGACUGGGAUAACUUCGGGAAACCGGAGCUAAUACCGGAUAAUAUAUUACACCGCAUGGUUCAAUCGUGAAAGACGGUUUUGCUGUCACUUAUAGAUGUAUCCGCGCCGCAUUAGCUAGUUGGUAAGGUAACGGCUUACCAAGGCAACGAUGCGUACCAGACCUGAGAGGGUCGACGGACAGACGAGAACUGAGACACGGUCCAGACACCUACGGGAGGCAGCAGUAGGGAAUCUUACGCAAUGGGGGAAAGCCUGACGGAGCAACGCCGCGGGAGGGAUGAAGGACUUAGGAUCGUAAAACUCUGUUAUUAGGGAAGAACAAAUGUGUAAGUAACAAUGCACGUAUUGACGGUACCUAAUCAGAAAGCCACGGCUAAAUACGUG